CAGCCGCCGCGGUAAUACAGAGGGUGCGAGCGUUAAUCGGAUUUACUGGGCGUAAAGCGUGCGUAGGCGGCUUCUUAAGUCGGAUGUGAAAUCCCUGAGCUUAACUUAGGAAUUGCAUUCGAUACUGGGAAGCUAGAGUAUGGGAGAGGAUGGUAGAAUUCCAGGUGUAGCGGUGAAAUGCGUAGAGAUCUGGAGGAAUACCGAUGGCGAAGGCAGCCAUCUGGCCUAAUACUGACGCUGAGGUACGAAAGCAUGGGGAGCAAACAGGAUUAGAGCCCCAGUAGUCCCUGUCUCUUAUACC
rnacentral:rRNA from 1 species